rnacentral:rRNA from 1 species
AGUGGCGAACGGGUGAGUAACGCGUGAGUAUCUGCCCUUAGGAGGGGGACAACAGUUGGAAACGACUGCUAAUACCCCAUAUGUCUACGGAUGAAAGAUUUUAUCGCCUGAGGAUGAACUCGCGUCUGAUUAGCUAGUUGGUGAGGUAAUGGCUCACCAAGGCGACGAUCAGUAGCUGGUCUGAGAGGAUGAUCAGCCACACUGGGACUGAGACACGGCCCAGACUCCUACGGGAGGCAGCAGUGGGGAAUUUUCCGCAAUGGGGGCAACCCUGACGGAGCAAUACCGCGUGCGGGAGGACGGCCUGUGGGUUGUAAACCGCUUUUCUCAGGGAAGAAGACCUGACGGUACCUGAGGAAUCAGCAUCGGCUAACUCCGUGCCAGCAGCCGCGGUAAUACGGAGGAUGCAAGCGUUAUCCGGAAUUAUUGGGCGUAAAGCGUCCGUAGGUGGUUAAUCAAGUCUGCUGUUAAAGAGCGGAGCUUAACUCCGUUUAAGCGGUGGAAACUGGUUGACUAGAGAGUGGUAGGGGUAGAGGGAAUUCCCAGUGUAGCGGUGAAAUGCGUAGAUAUUGGGAAGAACACCGGUGGCUAAAGCGCUCUACUGGGCCACAUCUGACACUGAUGGACGAAAGCUAGGGGAGCGAAAGGGAUUAGAUACCCC